AUGGAGACUCUCCUGAAGGUGCUUGCAGGGGCUCUGUUGUGGCAAUUGGCUUAUGUGAGAAGCCAAGAAGUGCAGCAGAGUCCUCAGUCCUUGAUCGUCCAAGAGGGGGGAAAUGUUACCAUCAAGUGCAAAUCCUCAAAGACUUUAUAUUCCUUACACUGGUACUGGCAGAAGCAUGGUGAAGGUCCCGUCCUCUUGAUGCUGUUAAGAAGAAAAGGAGAAGAGAUUCAGGACGAAAUAGCUGCCACGUUGGAUAGAGAAAUGCAGCACAGCUCCUUCUACAUCACAGGCUCCCGGCCCCGUCACUCAGGCACCUACUUCUGUGGAGGAGAAGCACAGUGA